UCCAUUCCCGGACACACCAUGUUCACCCAAAAGCCACAGGGACUUACAGACCAAAGAUGCUAACUCCCUCGAAUAGAUGAAUCUUUGCCAUGAACUAGAAGGUCGAGUUCUAGCUAGCUUUUCUAUUUUCCCCUGUGACAAUCAACAGAGGAUGGAAAGAUCCCACAACCAAGACUGGAAACAACUUGAAGAUACACAUCUGAGUUUAAGUCUCCAUCCAGCGUAGAACAUAAGGUAAAGGUCUUCCUGUGUGGUCACCAGCUUCUAUGUUAUCAGCUCACAGGAGUCUACACCUUUUCCUUUGAGUCACUUCCUGUAAGCUGCACACUUGAUUACGGUAAUUAAAGAAAACAUCUUCCGAUGUGAAAUAAGGUGUGAAAGAACAAUCAUCAAAAAGUAAAAUGGUGAGAACAUUUCUUCCAGCAAAAGCAACUUCCCCUUGAAAGAGCUCACCUAUUAUGAUCUUUGUGGAAGCAUCUAUUUUCAGUCCAUGACUUCUCCUUGAGGAAGAACAAAUUCACCUCAAGGAACUAAAAUACCAGGAAAAGUCAAAAUGACUUCAAAAAAAUUAUUUUGAUAGUCUUUGGCAAUCAAAAUUCAUAAGACAUAAUGUCACUGAAAUAAACCCAAGACCUUCUAGAAUUAUAAGAAAAGUAUUUUGGAAGAAGACUGUUCUCCUUCAUUGUGUUAUAUUAGCUACACAACAUAAAUAAAUAUCCCAGGAUUCCUAAUCUA